GAGAGAGGGUGAGAGAGAUGUCGUU
rnacentral:miRNA from 1 species